GCCUGGCAGUCGAGCAGUCGAGGCUAGGCAAGUUCUGAGGAAAUGCAGUCCCUCCCCUUUCCUCUUUUUCCACCCCCUAGCUAUAUACAGCUCUAGAUGCAGACCUAGACCUCUGCAAAACAAUAAAGCGGAAGAAAUUUGGGUCUGCCCAUGUGCUCUAACUGCACUGCGUCCUCCCCUCAUCUCCUUUCUGAUCUUUAUGUUUUUCUGUCUCUCUUUGUUUCCCCCGUCAACACAUACACGCAGUGCGAAAGAUACCAGCCACAGCAUCUUAAGACUUAAAGGUUAUCCAACCCCAUCCUCCCACUGCUGCUUCAACAAUGUGCUUAACGCGUAGUGCUGCAAUCACUGCUUAGCUAUCAGAUAUAUUUUAAAGAACUCAAGAGGAGAAGACAAGGCUAUUAUAUUUACCAAGGCACAUCCCAAUGCCAUCCCUCCUAGCCACUGAUUGGCUAUCCUGAAAAUUCUAAUUCUUUAACACCUCUCAGCUCUGAACACUGACCCAAACUCCAACUGAAUUAGGAAGAAAUAGAAAAUUUGAACAUACUGAUUACUAGUAAUGAAAUUGAAUCAGUAAU